GGGUGGACAUUGAUAAAUGGUGUGCCCAGUGCCAGUUUAGCAGACUGUCCAUCAAGCAAUAGCCCAAGUACAUCCCAAUAUGUGUGGACAAGCCUCUGGAACAGUUGGGGAUGAAUUUAGUGGGGAAAGUCACCAGGACCGACAAUGUAAAUGAGUACAUUUAUUGACUAUUACACAAAAUAGCCUAUACUAUUCUGACUAAAUAUGAAGCAGUUGUGUACUGAAUUAAUUUAUUUCACAGGUUUGGGGCACCAAAAAUAAUUCUUACUGACCAAGGCACAGAGUCUGUUAACCAGGUUUGUAGUUUAUUGAAUGAAGGAGAAAAAAACAAAAAA
ensembl:lncRNA